CUGCCCUGCUCCCCUUCUCUGAUCCUUAGUACCCAGAUGCAGCUGCCAUCUCAGUGCAGUGCACCUGGACAAGGAUUCAAAGAGGGUGAG
ensembl:miRNA